UGGGGAAGAACCACCGGGAUUGCCUCAGUAACGGCGAGUGAAGCGGCAAGAGCUCAAAUUUGAAAUCUGGCCCCCCCGGGGUCCGAGUUGUAAUUUGGAGAGGAUGCUUCGGGCGCCGUUCCCGUCUAAGUGCCCCUGGAACGGGCUGUCGCAGAGGGUGAGAACCCCGUCUGGGACGGGCGACGGCGCCCGUGUGAAGCUCCUUCGACGAGUCGAGUUGUUUGGGAAUGCAGCUCUAAGCGGGUGGUAAAUUUCAUCUAAAGCUAAAUACUGGCCGGAGACCGAUAGCGCACAAGUAGAGUGAUCGAAAGAUGAAAAGCACUUUGAAAAGAGAGUCAAACAGCACGUGAAAUUGUUGAAAGGGAAGCGUUGGCCCCCAGACGCGCCCGGGAGGGCUCAGCCGGCACGUGUGCCGGUGUACUCUCUCCCGGGCGGGCCAGCAUCGGUUUGGGCGGUCGCUGAAAGGCCCCGGGAAUGUAGCACCCUCCGGGGUGCCUUAUAGCCCGGGGCGGCAUGCGGCCCGCCGGGACCGAGGCCCGCGCUUCGGCGAGGAUGCUGGCGUAAUGGCGGUCAACGGCCCGUCUUGAAACACGGACCAAGGAGUCUAACAUCUAUGCGAGUGUUCGGGUGUCAAACCCGUCCGCGCAGUGAAAGCUAACGCCGGUGGGAUCCCCUCUGGGGCGCACCAUCACCCAUCCUGAUGUCCUCUGAUGGAUUUGAGUAAGAGCAUUCUGUUGGCACCCCAAAGAUAGCGACUUUGCUGAAUAUGAUAAAUGAUAAUAAAGUCUGGUG
rnacentral:rRNA from 1 species